UACGGAGGGUGCGAGCGUUGUCCGGAAUCACUGGGCGUAAAGGGUGCGUAGGCGGGGCUUUAAGUCAGGGGUGAAAUCCUGGAGCUCAACUCCAGAACUGCCUUUGAUACUGAGGAUCUUGAGUUCGGGAGAGGUGAGUGGAACUGCGAGUGUAGAGGUGAAAUUCGUAGAUAUUCGCAAGAACACCAGUGGCGAAGGCGGCUCACUGGCCCGAUACUGACGCUGAGGCACGAAAGCGUGGGGAGCAAACAGG
rnacentral:rRNA from 1 species